rnacentral:rRNA from 1 species
UACGUAGGUGGCGAGCGUUGUCCGGAUUUACUGGGCGUAAAGGGAGCGUAGGCGGACUUUUAAGUGAGAUGUGAAAUACCCGGGCUCAACUUGGGUGCUGCAUUUCAAACUGGAAGUCUAGAGUGCAGGAGAGGAGAAUGGAAUUCCUAGUGUAGCGGUGAAAUGCGUAGAGAUUAGGAGGAACACCAGUUGCGAAGGCGGCUCUCUGGACUGUAACUGACGCUGAGGCUCGAAAGCGUGGGGAGCAAACAGGAUUAGAUACCCCUGUA